rnacentral:rRNA from 1 species
UACGGGGGGGGGCAAGCGUUGUUCGGAAUUAUUGGGCGUAAAGAGCUCGUAGGCGGCCUGUUGCGUCCGCUGUGAAAGCCCGGGGCUUAACCCCGGGUCGGCAGUGGAUACGGGCAGGCUAGAGGUAGGUAGGGGAGAAUGGAAUUCCGGGUGGAGCGGUGAAAUGCGUAGAGAUCCGGAGGAACACCGACGGCGUAGGCGGCGCCCUGGACGACACCUGACGCUGAGGCAC